GUUGCCGUGGCCGAGUGGUUAAGGCGAUAGACUUGAAAUCUUUUGGGUUUUCGAGCGCAAGUUCGAAUCCUGCCGACAACG